rnacentral:sRNA from 1 species
CUUGGUCAUUUAGAGGAAGUAAAAGUCGUAACAAGGUUUCCGUAGGUGAACCUGCGGAAGGAUCAUUCACAAACGAGUGUUUUAUGGCACUCUUUAAAAAUCCAUAUCCACCUUGUGUGCAAUGUUUGUUGGGAAAGUCUUUUCUUUCCCUUCAUAAAUAUCAACCUAUAUCUUUAACAACAUUCGUCCGAUAACAUAUUAUGAAUAUACUUAAUUCAAAAUAUAACUUUCAACAACGGAUCUCUUGGCUCUCGCAUCGAUGAAGAACGCAGCGAAAUGCGAUACGUAAUGUGAAUUGCAGAAUUCAGUGAAUCAUCGAAUCUUUGAACGCAUAUUGCGCUCUUUGGUAUUCCGAAGAGCAUGCUUGUUUGAGUAUCAGUAAACACCUCAACCUCUCUUUUUUGAUAAAAAAAAGGGAGGGUGGACUUGAGCUAUCCCAACGACCUUCACCGGUAGGCGGGCGGCUUGAAAUGCAGGUGCAGCUGGACUUUUAUCUGAGCUAAAAGCAUAUCUAUUUAGUCCUCGUCAAACAGGAUUAUUACUUUUGCUGCAGCUAACAUAAAGGAUAAUUGUCCUCUUUGCUGACUGAUGCAGGAUUUUACGACACUUUAUGUGUUGUUCAACUCGAUCUCAAAUCAAGUAAGACUACCCGCUGAACUUAAGCAUAUCAAUAAGCGGAGGAAAAGAAACUAACAAGGAUUCCCCUAGUAACGGCGAGUGAAGCGGGAUGAGCUCAAAUUUGAAAUCUGGCUGGUUUACUAGUCCGAGUUGUAAUUUAAAGAAGCGUUUUCGGUGGCAGCCUGGGUAUAAAUCCUUUGGAAUAGGGUAUCAUAGAGGGUGAGAAUCCCGUCUUUGACCUAGUGCAUGCUACUAUGUGAUACGUUUUCAAAGAGUCGAGUUGUUUGGGAAU